rnacentral:rRNA from 1 species
AACGAACGCUGGCGGCAUGCCUAACACAUGCAAGUCGAACGAGACCUUCGGGUCUAGUGGCGCAUGGGUGCGUAACGCGUGGGAACCUUCCCUUAGGUUCGGAAUAACUCCCCGAAAGGGGUGCUAAUACCGGAUAAUGUCUUCGGACCAAAGAUUUAUCGCCUUUGGAUGGGCCCGCGUUGGAUUAGCUAGUUGGUAGGGUAAAAGCCUACCAAGGCGACGAUCCAUAGCUGGUCUGAGAGGAUGAUCAGCCACACUGGGACUGAGACACGGCCCAGACUCCUACGGGAGGAAGCAGUGGGGAAUAUUGGACAAUGGGCGAAAGCCUGAUCCAGCAAUGCCGCGUGAGUGAUGAAGGCCUUAGGGUUGUAAAGCUCUUUUAACCGGGAUGAUAAUGACAGUACCGGGAGAAUAAGCGCCGGCUAACUCCGUG